CCAAUAGCGUAUAUUAAAGUUGUUGCAGUUAAAAAGCUCGUAGUUGAAUUUCGGGAUCAAUGUUUCGGUCAUGCCGUUGGUAUGUACUGAUAUUAUUGAUUUCUCACCUUCUAAAGAACCGUAAUGCCAUUAAUUUGGUGUCACGGGGAAUUAGGACUGUUACCUUGAAAAAAUUAGAGUGUUUAAAGCAGGCUCACGCUUGAAUACAUUAGCAUGGAAUAAUGAAAUAGGACAUCCGAUUCUAUUUUGUUGGUUUCUAGGAUCGAUGUAAUGAUUAAUAGGGAUUGUUGGGGGCAAUUGUAUUCAAUUGUCAGAAGUGAAAUUCUUUGAAUUAUUGAAGACUAACUACUGCGAAAGCAUUUGCCAAGGAUGUUUUCAUUAAUCAAGAACGAAAGUUAGGGGAUCGAAGACGAUCAGAUACCGUCUUAGUUUUAACCAUAAACUAUGCCGACUAGGGAUCGGAUGAUGUUAAUUUUUUAAUGACUCAUUCGGCGCCUUACG
rnacentral:rRNA from 1 species